ACCUCAAGGACCUCUACAUCAACACUGUAAUGUUCGAGUUGAUGGCUUGUGGCAUGUUUGAGGUUACUGUUUUAUGGCAGGGGGUCAUGUUGAAAUCACUCCCUUACUUAGACACACCUGGUAUAACUGCAUAUGUAUCAGUUUUUUCUGUUUUCCAUUGCUGCUAAUUAACAUGUAGUACUACAUGAGAAAGAAUAGAUUUAUUAGUUGUUUCCUCGCAUGAUUAAUUUGUUCUCGCAUUUCCAUGUGUCUGUAACUCAUCCUUGUAACUUAAAAAUACUGUUAUGUUUUAGAGUCAGAGAAGUCGAUAUGUCAUUACACCAACUUAGUUCAGAACUUCAUAUGUUUAUAUCUUGCAGCCAAGUAUCCCCUUAAUGCUAUCAAGCUACUUCAAAUUCCUAUUGAACGGAAAGGUGACGGAUGAACAGGAUGUGCGAGCUUCUUUAACUGGUGGUAGUCGGAUGCGAUGGUGGAGCAGUAUGCCUCGUAGCAGAUUUGUUGUCUUUCCCUCUCGUGAAGGGGAGAAGUGGAGGGGAGGUAGCCAGGAGUGAGGGAGCCAUGGAUGCAGGUUCCGGCCGGCCAGGCAUGCUUUUUGUUUGUUUAUUUAUUCCACAGAUGUUGGAACCAGUUAGGUACUAUGCGAUGUGGGUCGAUACAGUGGGUUGAUGCUCUCUUGGCUAUAGCAUCUUCAACUAUUCUUUUCCCGUGCUAGAUCAAUUGGCCUGUAACAUCUUAUUUUACCUGUUAGAUUCUGCUGUGUGAGGUUGUUUACUUAAGACAAACUACUUUGUAACCUUUAGUCCUGAAGGUGUCGAGUACAUUUAAAUAUCACAA